AGAUGUGGUUGCAAAUCCAUCCAUUUCUACAAGCAGUUGAUUUAAAGUUCUUUCACGUUCAUCAUUUGCUCCAGAAGAGAGUCCCCUCCCUCUUGCACCACCAAUUGCAUCAAUCUCAUCUAUGAAAAUAAUACUAGGUGCACAUCGUCUUGCCUCCCGAAAUAAGCUCCUUACUCUAGCUGGUCCAAUACCAACAAACAUCUCCAAAAAAUCUGAACCAGAAAUACAGAGAAAAGGUACACCAGACUCUCCUGCUGUAGCUUUAGCUAGAAGUGUCUUUCCAGUCCCAGGAGGACCAACUAGAAGAGCACCCUUAGGAAUUUUGGCUCCUAACUCCUCGUAUUUCUUGGGAUUCUUAAGGAAGUGGACAAACUCCAUGAUUUCAUGCUUAGCCUCGUCACAUCCAGCCACAUCAGUGAAGACGACCUGUACCAUAAAAGUGUCAAUUGACUUUCGUAUCAACUAAUCAUAAAAUGACCAAUUCUCAGUGAAAAGAAUUUGGGUUAUUCUGAACUGCACCAAUAACGGGAACUGAUUCUCACCUUGUUCUCGGCAUUUUUGUCCAUCUUCAUGAAACGCGGUUUACCAAUACUAAAUAUUUCACGAACACCUCCCCAAUCCAUAUAAUAAAAGAUAGCUGGAAUCAAUAUCAUUGCACCAAACUUCAUCAUAUCUGGCAACCAAUCCAACUCAUUAACAUAUAUGACAGGGACAUAAUUGCGAGGAUCUAUUCCAGAGGCUUCUUGUGCUUCCUUAAGCUUCUGCUCAAAUAACUCAACACUCCCAAUGUUGAAAUAAUAUUUGUGGUGGCUCAGGUUUCUACUACCAUCUGCACCACUUUUAAGACCUUGAACUGUGUCAUCANCAUUUUGAUUAUAGUACUCUCGCUCCUAGCAGCAACCAAAGCAGAUUCAUUACAAACAUUUGCAAUGUCUGCUCCAACAAAUCCUGGUGUUAGAGCAGCAAGCCUCUGUGAAUAGAAUGUUGCUUCUUGAUCAAUUUUCAAAUUGUUCAAAUAGAUUCUGAAAAUCUGUUCACGACCUUUUAUGUCUGGUUUGUCAAUGGUAAUCUGGCGAUCAAAUCGACCAGGCCUUAAUAAGGCUUUGUCUAAUAUAUCAAGUCUAUUUGUACCAGCAAGUACAACUACACCAGAUGUGGUUGCAAAUCCAUCCAUUUCUACAAGCAGUUGAUUUAAAGUUCUUUCACGUUCAUCAUUUGCUCCAGAAGAGAGUCCCCUCCCUCUUGCACCACCAAUUGCAUCAAUCUCAUCUAUGAAAAUAAUACUAGGUGCACAUCGUCUUGCCUCCCGAAAUAAGCUCCUUACUCUAGCUGGUCCAAUACCAACAAACAUCUCCAAAAAAUCUGAACCAGAAAUACAGAGAAAAGGUACACCAGACUCUCCUGCUG
rnacentral:lncRNA from 1 species